GGCAGCGGCAGCUAUACAUGCAAGUCGAACGAGAUCUUCGGAUCUAGUGGCGCACGGGUGCGUAACGCGUAUGCAACUUACCUCUUACUGGGGAAUAACUCUGCGAAAGUGGAGCUAAUACCGCAUAAUAGAUAUAAAGGCAUCUUUAGAUCUUAAAAGGUUACGGUAGGAGAUGGGCAUGCGUCCCAUUAGCUAGUUGGUAAGGUAAUGGCUUACCAAGGCAACGAUGGGUAGGGGAACUGAGAGGUUGAUCCCCCACGCUGGUACUGAGAUACGGACCAGACUCCUACGGGAGGCAGCAGUAAGGAAUAUUGGUCAAUGGACGAGAGUCUGAACCAGCCAUGCCGCGUGCAGGAAGAAGGCGUUCUGCGUCGUAAACUGCUUUUAUAUAGGAAGAAAAGGUUCCUGCGGGAGCGAUUGACGGUACUAUAUGAAUAAGCACCGGCUAACUACGUGCCAGCAGCCGCGGUAAUACGUAGGGUGCAAGCGUUGUCCGGAUUUAUUGGGUUUAAAGGGUGCGUAGGCUGAUGCUUAAGUCUUGGGUGAAAUCCCACCGCUCAACGGUGGAACUGCCUGAGAAACUGGGUAUCUUGAGUAUAGUUGAGGUAGCUGGAAUUGGUGGUGUAGCGGUGAAAUGCAUAGAUACCACCAGGAACCCCUAUUGCGAAGGCAAGUUACUAAGCUAUAACUGACGCUGAUGCACGAAAGCGUGGGGGAGCGAACAGGAUUAGAUACCCUGGUAGUCCACGCCGUAAACGAUGAUGACUCGCUGUUGGCGAUAGAAUGUCAG
rnacentral:rRNA from 1 species